GGGGCUGUAGCUCAGGGGUACAGCGCUUGCCUCGCAUGCAUGAGGAGCUGGGUUCAAUCCUCAGCACCA
rnacentral:tRNA from 1 species